CCUACGGGAGGCAGCAGUGGGGAAUAUUGGGCAAUGGGCGAAAGCCUGAUCCAGCCAUGCCGCGUGUGUGAAGAAGGUCUUCGGAUUGUAAAGCACUUUAAGUUGGGAGGAAGGGCAUUAACCUAAUACGUUAGUGUUUUGACGUUACCGACAGAAUAAGCACCGGCUAACUCUGUGCCAGCAGCCGCGGUAAUACAGAGGGUGCAAGCGUUAAUCGGAAUUACUGGGCGUAAAGCGCGCGUAGGUGGUUUGUUAAGUUGGAUGUGAAAGCCCCGGGCUCAACCUGGGAACUGCAUCCAAAACUGGCAAGCUAGAGUACGGUAGAGGGUGGUGGAAUUUCCUGUGUAGCGGUGAAAUGCGUAGAUAUAGGAAGGAACACCAGUGGCGAAGGCGACCACCUGGACUGAUACUGACACUGAGGUGCGAAAGCGUGGGGAGCAAACAGGAUUGGAUACCCUGGUAGUCCACGCCGUAAACGAUGUCAACUAGCCGUUGGAAUCCUUGAGAUUUUAGUGGCGCAGCUAACGCAUUAAGUUGACCGCCUGGGGAGUACGGCCGCAAGGUUAAAACUCAAAGGAAUUGACGG
rnacentral:rRNA from 1 species